CGUCGGCAACUAGACGUGUGGGUGCGUCGCGACGUCGACGUCGUCCUUCGACUCAUACAGAAUUAUAUCGAAGUCCGAUUCCGGAAGAGAGUACCGCAAGGAUUCAAAAUGGACGAUCCAUCGCGCGAUAAUCCGCCUCGCCGGCUGCCAAUGCUAGAAAAUCGGCAGCUUCUCUAUAAUCUGGAUAAAAUCGCCAAUAAUCAGGAGGCCGUCAUUAUUGUUCGAAAACCACCCGAUCAUGGAUUCUAAUUCGGAGCAAUUCGAGUUACGCCAUCAUUUGCGCAGCGACUAGACAGAUUUUUUUUUUCAUCCAACCCAACUCGUCGAUUCAAUUAUUUUCCCAAAAGUUUGGGGUAAUCAAAUAAGAAAUUUUCGAUAAUUGUUUCUCGAUUUUUUUGAACUUCAUAAUUCCAUAGACAAAGCAGCGAAGUUAUCGCGGGCGAAAGAUCUACGUGCGAUUGAAAAAGUCAGCGAACGAAAAGCGGUGAAAAAAAAAACAAAAAACAAUUUUCUCACUCGCUUGACAACCGUCAUAACGUGUCUACGACUAACUGUGCAGCUGGUGCACUGCAAGUGGCAAUUGGAAUUUCUGUGGACUAUUUUUUGUUUGACUAACGCCGUAAUAAAAGCGAUGUGUAAAUAGAAGUUAGUUCGAAUCGAUAUUACAUGUGCUAUCUACAUUUAUAUGGAACCUGCACGGUGAAAGUAACAAGUAGAAAUUGAUGAUUGUUAUAUCUACGUUUCAUUGAAUUUUCAGAGAAGUAUUUACGCCCGUAGUAACCGAGGGAUAGAGGCAAAGGAAAUUGAGAACAACGCUUCGUUAACGACUGUGAGAUUUACGGUGAGAUAACAUUCGGUACAACAAUAGAAGCGAACAAUAUCCAUCAGUUUGUUACUUAGAGAUAAUAUACGUGUAUCUAUCCAAAUAGCUAUUAACACUUGUCGGGGAAUUGUCUAUGGGAGUAAACGUGUAAAUUCGAUGUUCUCACCCUGGAAACGUGCGUGGAAUCAUAUUUGGCAACGAUAUGAUCGCGCAAAAAAAUGUCAUCCAAAAAAUUCCAGUUGGACGAAUAAAAAAUGUAUAAUCAAACGUCAUCAGAGGUGCCGAAACAUCACGGGAACAUAAUUACCGUGAUUGAAUCUAUUUUCAUUUCAUCCAGUUGAAAUUAAUGUUCAGGUUAAACCAACUGUCGAGUUUUACACCACGAUCCACAGCUGCUACUUGCGUCCACAUCCAAUUAUUAUACAACAAUAUGUAGGGAAAUUUAUCCUACCGGAAAUGUGAUUUAUACAUGGACACGAAGCAAAACUCAGAUUUUUUAAUUUUUUUCUUCUCAAAUCUUCGUUUUUCAUUCGUGAAAAUUCAUACGAAUUCGUUAUUAUUAUAAAAUCGUAUGGAAAUUCUGCUUCCCUGCGAGAGGCUGUGUAUAUUAAAUUUUUCUUUUUUUCUCUUCAUAGUCGCGGUGCGUAAAUGAAUAAUGACGCGAAACCGAUAGAGCGAUACCAACUGAUAGUUUUCGAUCUUUUUUUUCUUUUUCUCUCAUAGACACGUACGCGGGUAUGUGAUAGACAUGAUUCUGCACGUGUGGAGUGUUCGGUUUCGAUAUGAAAUACACGCGAUGUUAUAAUUGAUUGGCGUGAGCGUGCGGUAUGAUAACAGUUAGAUAUGAUAGUAAAAAUAAUUGAAAAAGUUUUAAAAGUGUGUAACGUGUUUUAACUAUAAUUAAAAAAUUAAUGGUAAUUGACUUUAUAUUUCACACGUAUAUUCACGCGCAUCUCGUAUUCAUGGGGAAUUUAUCUUCUGCUAUAUUAAAAAAUAACAAUCAAUUAAUUACUGUAUUGAAGAAUACCAAUCAAUCUUGAGUAAAUAAAAUUAAUGUAAAAGUUUUCUCUAUAUAUCGUCAAUAUCAGUGUGGAGAAUGGAGUUGACAAAUAUAUGUUGAUGUGUCCUAGGUAUAUGCCAAAACUCAUUUUAUUCAGCUGCAGUUAUAUAUAUUAGCGCAAUGUAUAAAUUAUUGUAAAAAAUAUGUGCAGGAAAAUUUUAUCAAUGUAAGUCAAAAAUCACGUUACUCGAUGUAGAUUGAAUUGUACUUAUGACGUUGUUGAUGACAGUGUGAAUUCCUCUCUUUCUUCGUUGUUUGAAGAAGAUAAAUAAAUGUAUUCAAGUGUA
rnacentral:lncRNA from 1 species